UCUUCCUCGCCUCCGCAUCGCCCAAAUCGCAUGGCCCAAGCCUUCACCGCGACGUGUCCCCACCACCGCGACACCGCCCAGCGCCAUAGCCAUCGCCACACCUCCCAGGCUCCCAGCGCCCAAGCCUUCGGUUCGACGCCUCCGAUGUUAACCUGCACAGCCACAGCCACCCACCGCACAUCCACAGCCACCGCACAUCUCCGACACUGCCGCCUGUCUUCCCGUUGGGAGAGUUGAAGGAUACUGAUCAUUCUCAUGAACUUGAAGCUGCCAAGUCUGGUAACAAACAUCAGUUUUAAUUUGCACAUAAUAAGUAUGAGCAAGGAGAAAGAAUUGGAAAUGCAGAGAGAAGACCUGCAGAAAAAACCCGAGAACACAAGGGGGAAGAUCGUGGAGGGCUGGGUUUCGAAAAGGCUUGGAGAGCUUACUCUUCUGGAGCAGCCCUUCAUUAAGGACGACAGCGUUUUGGUGAAGCAAACUGUUGCGACUCUCGGGGAGAACGUAAAGGUCAGGAGGUUCAUUAGGUUUACGCUUGGCGAAUGAUGAGACGAGGGAAAAGGUAACUGAUUCAAACUAUUUUUGUUGCUGAGUAUACUCGAGAUUCAUUUUUGUUGUAGUGCAAAGUUGUUAGCUUUCUUAUAUCAGACUCGUCUUCUUCCACAUCUCUGAUUUUGCACCAGUUUGUAUUGUUAUUUUCACUACUUUUUGAGGCUUUGAGGCUUUGAAGUUGGAAGAGAAGCAACCGAGGUGUAAGCAGAUUUCUGCCAUGGAGAUCUUUCCUGGCUUCCAAGUCAAAUUAUUCGAGUUCGAUUUGAUGAAUGUUUAAAUUCGAUUUGGUUACUGAUGAA